rnacentral:rRNA from 1 species
UACGUAGGGGGCUAGCGUUGUCCGGAAUCAUUGGGCGUAAAGAGCGUGUAGGCGGCCCGGUAAGUCCGCUGUGAAAGUCGGGGGCUCAACCCUCGGAUGCCGGUGGAUACUGUCGGGCUCGAGUACGGAAGAGGCGAGUGGAAUUCCCGGUGUAGCGGUGAAAUGCGCAGAUAUCGGGAAGAACACCAGUGGCGAAGGCGGCUACCUGGACCAGCACUGACACUGAGGCACGAAAGCGUGGGGAGCAAACAGG